GGGGCUGAUUCUGGAUUCGACGGGAUUUGCGAAACCCAAGGUGCAUGCCGAGGGGCGGUUGGCCUCGUAAAAAGCCGCAAAAAAAUAGUCGCAAACGACGAAAACUACGCUUUAGCAGCUUAAUAACCUGCUUAGAGCCCUCUCUCCCUAGCCUCCGCUCUUAGGACGGGGAUCAAGAGAGGUCAAACCCAAAAGAGAUCGCGUGGAUGCCUUGCCUGGGGUUGAAGCGUUAAAACGAAUCAGGCUAGUCUGGUAGUGGCGUGUCCGUCCGCAGGUGCCAGGCGAAUGUAAAGACAGACUAAGCAUGUAGUACCGAGGAUGUAGGAAUUUCGGACGCGGGUUCAACUCCCGCCAGCUCCACCA
rnacentral:tmRNA from 15 species